GCGGGGCAAGGAGGGAAAAUAUCCAAAGUCUAAUGUUAAAGGAUAUUCUGAUCUUCUGGUGCCGGGUCUGUGGGGCUGAGGUGGAUCCGGGGGACAGAGCAUGGCCGGAAGCUCUGAGUGGAGGUCCCAGGGCCAGCCAAGGUCCUUGGCCUGGGUCCUGACAGCAGAAGCCUAUGGAGCAGCCGGAGUGAUUCCCAGAACGGAAGUGAGGGAGCCCCCACCAUGGCAGACCCACGGCCCCACCCAGCCUGGCCAGAUGAGGCUGCCCCCGCAGCCGAGCCUGCCCGGCUUCCCGCCUCCGGCCUGGCACCAGGAGCAGCCCAGGAAGAGACGCACCCUUCUCAAGGAGCUGGGCGCCUUCCAUGUUGUCUUUGCUCUACUGUACUUGCUCUUUGGGAGUUGCCUGGUCUCUACGGUCGAGAGUCUUCACCUGGUGGUGCUGAAGUCUUGGUAUCCAUUCUGGGGGGCUGCCUCGUUCCUCAUUUCAGGGAUCUUGGUGAUCAUGACAGAGCUGCUUUCGAAGACUUACCUGAAGACGCUUUGCCUGAUAGCACAUGCCAUCAGCUUCUUCUGCGUGCUAUCUGGCCUCUUUGUCAUUGCCAAAGAUCUCUUUCUGGAGAGUCCCUUUGAGUUCCCGAUCUGGACACCAUACCCCAACAGCACAGUCCACAUCCAGAGGCUGGAGCUGGCCCUGCUCUGCUUCACGGUCCUGGAGUUCUUCCUGCUGGGCUCCACGAUGGUCACAGUGUGCCAGGAUGACCGCCCGUCCGCAGAGAAAGAUGACUUGUCCCUUGUUCCUGACACACCGGUGGCAUUCAGGCGGCAGCCGAUGAGUCCUCCACCAUCCUAUGAGGAUGUGACUUUAGGUGGCAUAUAAGACAAGCAAAAGCAGAGGUGAGGACGGGUCCGCACUGUGCUGUGUCUGAAGGCAGACUACCACGAGCAGCCAGAACACAGCCCCCAGCCUCUCUGAUGCUGGCCUCCAGUGGGGGAAGUUCCUGCACUGACCCACGUGACCCUCCCCUGUGGACUUAAAGGGGCAUCGUGGGCAAGCGUUAGGGAACGUGAUCAAAACAGACAUGACCGUCAAUGACCCAGGAGCUGGACCCCGGCACAAGGAGGCUCCUCACCCCACCGCUGUCCUUGGAAUGUGGGUUCCAUUUGACCUUCCUGCCCCCAGAAGCUGCUCCAAGGCCACAGCCUUGAGGUGCGAUGUGAUGAGAACACCUGCACGUUGUACGUGACUCAGUCCAGUUAGGGCCUCCUGAUAAACUUCUAAGAUUUGGAGGGUGGGUGUGCCGCCCAAGG